rnacentral:misc_RNA from 1 species
AAGGAGCAUCUAGCUGCCGCAAGGCAGCCAGGCCACAACGUCGGCGAAUGUUCGACGGUGGUUGCUCAUGGGUGGAACGUUGAUUAUUCGGCCGGUUCGUCGGGCCGGAGGCUGUGAGUACUACCCCUUGUGGGUGUGGAAAGCAUGAUCUCCGGACGAGAGACUGGUCGGGCACGCUGUUGGGUGUCUGAGGGUAUGGCCGUACGGCUGCCUUCAGUGCCGGCCCCGGUAAAAAUUCGCGUGAAGCGGGUUGUGACGGGUGGUUGGUCGUUGUUUGAGAACUGCACAGUGGACGCGAGCAUCUGUGG